CCAAGUCAAGUCCACUCCUUCCACUCCUCUCCAUGUGCGCAAGGCUAAGGGAAUAAAUGGGCUGAAUGCCUAGUCUUUUAAUUCAGAAGCAAAUUUGAACAUUCAUCACACAUCUCUAUCAAAUUCUCUUGACCGUAAGCCUCUCUAGAUGAACACCAAAACUUAAUCAGUGUUCCCCUCCUCUCAUCCACUCAUUUACCCCACUAAGACCGUGAGCUCCAUGAGAUAAAUCAACAUGUGAGCCUCUGCCUUUUCCCCAUUAGUUGGCCGAAUGCAGAACCAUGGAGACUGCAACUUGAAACUGCCCUUUUCUUCUCCUUCUGUGUUCAACGGGUUCUGAUGUGAGGAAGUCGCACCACUCUUGCAUGCAGAAUUGAACCAAGCCUACAUCCACUUCCUUCUUUCAUUGUUCGACCGAAGGACCACAUUCAAGGGGAUGAGUCUCAAACCGAGUUUUUGGAGCCUAGGAAGGAGGAGGGGUUGUUGCUUGUUCGAUUUAUGGUCUUGAGUGUGGAUGCAAGAAGAUGUGUGCUAACUUCUAAAAGUGUGGGCUGAUUGGUGAUGCUUUGAUAAAAUAAAAUGUUAAAGACUCGAGGAGGACGAAAGAGUAUAUGAGGACGUGAUUAUAUGGAUAUUGCUGUUAAAUUCUGAUGUGGCUGUUUUAAUUGAUGGAUGACUGUAUUAUUUUGAGAAAUUUGGAUUAACUGUUGAACUAUGAUUUUGCUUUUGUUUUAAGAUGUUUAUGGUCAGUUAGGACUUUGGAAAAAUUCUGGAAACGUUUUGCAAAAACUAUUUCUUAAG